UUCGGAUUGUAGGCUGCAACUCGCCUACAUGAAGUCGGAGUUGCUAGUAAUCGCAGGUCAGCAUACUGCGGUGAAUACGUUCCCGGGUCUUGUACACACCGCCCGUCACACCAUGGGAGCCGGAAAUGCCCGAAGCCAGUGACCCAACCUUAGGGGAGGGAGCUGUCGAAGGUGGAGCCGGUAACUGGGGGUGAAGUCGUAACAAGGUAAC
rnacentral:rRNA from 1 species